AUUGAACGCUGGCGGCAGGCUUUACACAUGCAAGUCGAACGAGCGGCGGACGGGUGAGUAAUGUCUGGGAAACUGCCUGGUGGAGGGGGAUAACUACUGGAAACGGUAGCUAAUACCGCAUACCAUCGGAUGUGCCCAUAUGGGAUUAGCUAGUAGGUGGGGUAAUGGCUCACCAAGGCGACGAUCCCUAGCUGGUCUGAGAGGAUGACCAGCCACACUGGAACUGAGACACGGCCCAGACUCCUACGGGAGGCAGCAGUGGGGAAUUUUGGACAAUGGGGGAAAGCCUGAUGCAGCCAUGCCGCGUGUGUGAAGAAGGCCUUCGGGUUGUAAAGUACUUUUAGCGAGGAGGCGUUACCCGCAGAAGAAGCACCGGCUAACUCCGUGCCAGCAGCCGCGGUAAUAC
rnacentral:rRNA from 1 species